CACGUAGGCGGAUGUGUCAGUCAGGGGUGAAAUCCCGGAGCUCAACUCCGGAACUGCCUCUGAUACAGCACGUCUUGAGUUCGAGAGAGGUGGGUGGAAUUCCUAGUGUAGAGGUGAAAUUCGUAGACAUUAGGAAGAACACCGGUGGCGAAGGCGGCCCACUGGCUCGAUACUGACGCUGAGGUGCGAAAGCGUGGGGAGCAAACA
rnacentral:rRNA from 1 species